rnacentral:rRNA from 1 species
GAUGAACGCUGGCGGCGUGCCUAAUACAUGCAAGUCGGGCGAUCAGACGAGGAGCUUGUUCCAAUUGCGUUAGCGGCGGACGGGUGAGUAACACGUGGGGAACCUACCUUUGAGACUGGGAUAACUUCGGGAAACCGGAGCUAAUACCGGAUAAAAAAUUUAACCACAAGGUUUAAGAGUGAAAGACGGAUUUGCAGUAACUUAAGAAUGGAUCCGCGUGUCAUUGCCUAGUUGGUAAGGUAAAGGCUUACCAAGGGAAGAUACAUAAGCCGCCCGGAAGGGGUGAUCGGCCAAACUGGAACUAAGACACGGUCCAGACUCCUACGGGAGGAAGCAGUAGGGAAUCUUCGGAAAUGGGCGAAAGCUUGACGGAGCAACGCCGCGUGAGUGAUGAAGGUCUUCGGAUCGUAAACCUCUGUUAUUAGGGAAGAACAAAUGUGUAAGUAAAUAUGCACGUCUUGACGGUAACUAAUCAGAAAGCCACGGCUAACUACGUG